UAUAUACUCCCUCCGUUCGAAAUUACUUGUCACACAAAUUGAUAAAAUGUAUGUAUAUAGAAUUAAAAUACAUCUAGAUACAUCCAUUUCUAUGACAAGUAUUUUUGGAUGGAGGGAGUAUAUU
rfam:Hordeum vulgare subsp. vulgare, WGS project CAJW01000000 data, contig: morex_contig_140258